rnacentral:rRNA from 1 species
AGCAGUAGCCGCGGUAAUACGGAGGGGGCUAGCGUUGUUCGGAAUUACUGGUCGUAAAGCGCACGUAGGCGGCUUGGUAAGUUAGAGGUGAAAGCCUGGAGCUCAACUCCAGAAUUGCCUUUAAGACUGCCGAGCUAGCAGGUGAGAGAGGUAAGUGGAAUUCCGAGUGUAGAGGUGAAAUUCGUAGAUAUUCGGAAGAACACCAGUGGCGAAGGCGGCUUACUGGCUCAUACUGGACGCUGAGGUGCGAAAGCGUGGGGAGCAAACAGGAUUAGAUACCCCCGUAGUCCCUGUCUCUUAUAC